GACGUUUAUGUUCAUAUAAACAUUUUCGUUUUUCUUGUGUAAAUUUUCAAAUUAAAAUACGUUGAAAUCACCUUGGAUACUAGCGCCGCCUAUGCAACUUAUUGCUACAUGAAAACUGACAGAUUCACUCGCCGUCUCAUCCACCACCCACCGAUCGAAAAAGCAAAACAAUAACAAUCGUUCGCACCGGAGUCAUUCGUUCCUCAUUCGUUCCUUCAGUGUGUGCUUUCGCUUGAAAUAUCUCGGAAAUAUCCAAUAUUUCACUCCACAUAUGUUUUAACGUUGUGUUUUACGCAAACCAAAUCGACUUCAGGCAAAGUUCAGCGGAAAACACCGUUUAAAAAGGCACCGGCCACAAACAUAGGAAGAAGCAUCAGGGACUAUAGGUGGAAGUGGACAAUAAUGGAAGCUUCUUAUCACGAACCAAUUAAAUUGGUGGUUUACCUUUGCAGGCUCAAUUGUAAAAGACGUUGGGCGGCACCUACGUGAGAGCUCGCGAGAGUAUUUCGUCGUUGGAAAAGAAAAACAAAACGUGCAGUUUAGACGCUCGUCAUUAUUUCCCGCCUAACGAAGGGCUACACAUUUUUUUUUAUCAUACAUGUAAUUUAGUACGAUCAAUG